GAUCCAAGCUACAGCGAAACAACCAAAGUCGUGUACACUAACUUCAAGAACUGUGCCGUAGCUCAAGGCAAAUACUACGAACAACGUUGCAUACUCUACAUCUCCAAGGAUGUUGCUAAUGAUGUGCCACCGGAAUGUAGGAAGAACUUUGAAGAAAUCUGCGGUGUCGCCUCUUCAUCUAACUGGAAUGAUGUAUGUGGAGAAGACGCGUAGACCACGCGGGAAAAAGAAAAAGUGUUAUUAAAACAGUGUUGAGAUCUGUGACAUGUUAAGUAGCACAGCUUGAAAUAAACAUAUUUUUCGACAAGCGCAA
rnacentral:lncRNA from 1 species